rnacentral:rRNA from 1 species
AGAGUAUGAUCCUGGCUCAGAUUAAACGCUAGCGGCAUGCCUUACACAUGCAAGUCGAACGGCAGCGGGCUCUUCGGAGUGCCGGCGAGUGGCAAACGGGUGAGUAAUACAUCGGAACAUGCCCAGUAGUGGGGGAUAGCUCGGCGAAAGCCGAAUUAAUACCGCAUACGACCUUCGGGUGAAAGGGGGGGAUCUUAGGACCUCUCGCUAUUGGAGUGGCCGAUGCCUGAUUAGUUUGUUGGCGGGGUAACGGCCUACCAAGACUGCGAUCAGUAGCUGGUCUGAGAGGACGAUCAGCCACACUGGGACUGAGACACGGCCCAGACUCCUACGGGAGGCAGCAGUGGGGAAUCUUGGACAAUGGGCGAAAGCCUGAUCCAGCAAUGCCGCGUGUGCGAUGAAGGCUUUCGGGUUGUAAAGCACUUUUGUCAGGGAAGAAAUGGUUCGGGCCAAUACCUCGGACUUCUGACGGUACCUGAAGAAUAAGCACCGGCUAACUACGUGCCAGCAGCCGCGGUAAUACGUAGGGUGCAAGCGUUAAUCGGAAUUACUGGGCGUAAAGCGUGCGCAGGCGGUUUACUAAGACAGGUGUGAAAUCCC